GUUUAAAUAGCUUAUAUUAAGAGCAUGAUAUUGAAGAUAUCAGUGAGGUUUUUAACCUUUAAAUA
rnacentral:tRNA from 1 species